UACGUAGGGUGCAGGCGUUAAUCGGAAUUACUGGGCGUAAAGCGUACGCAGGCGGUUUGCUAAGACAGGUGUGAAAUCCCCGGGCUUAACCUGGGAACUGCGCUUGUUACUGGCAAGCUAGAGUGUGGCAGAGGGGGGUAGAAUUCCAGGUGUAGCAGUGAAAUGCGUAGAUAUCGGGAGGAAUACCAGCGGCGAAGGCGGCCUUCUGGACGGUGACUGACGCUGAGACGCGAAAGCGUGGGGAGCAAACAGG
rnacentral:rRNA from 1 species